rnacentral:lncRNA from 12 species
CUUUCUUUACCUCUAGCAGUGCAGGUAGAGCCAAAAAGCCAACUACACAGCCACUGUGAGCCCUCUGGGAUGCACUGGGCCUCUGCUGCUUCCAUGGACAUUCCAGAAUUAUGAUGUCCAAAUCACUCAUUAUGUCAUCUGUGAUGGAGAAUCCUGUGUCUGGCCAUUUAUCCUCUGGCUUCUGACUUGUAUUGGGCAGUGAACAAAGCUGUAAUCAAA